CUAUUUUCAACAUAUUUGAACCUAAAAAUCAUCUUGCCAUCUAUUUUGAUGUUUGGAUUCAGCCAUAUGGACUGGGUCAAAAUUUCAGUAUUGUUUUCAGCUUUAAGCUUAUUUUUGUAACUUGGAAAAAUUUACCAGGAUAUCAUGCCAAAAUGGAUUAACUUUUUCUGCUAAAUAAAGUAAACCUUCCUGACUUAAGUGUAAAAUCUUGUCCCCCCCAAAUUUUUGUAUAUAACUAAGUAGCAAGACUUUCCAAGGAGAGUAGUUUUGGGGAUCUAAUAAUUUAUACAGCCAAGACAUUUUUACACUAUAGCAAAAAUAAUAAAUAUUGGGCAUCUUAAGACCACCAUCACAGUGUUCGGACAUUAUCACUGCCCUUUUCACUUUAUCAGGUUUUCCUUUCCAUAAAAAGUUAAAAAAUAUAUUCUGAAUCUCCCUCAAAACCCCUUCUGGGGGGUUAGGAAGGACAGUCAGAACUUGGACCAAAAUGGGAAGUGCUAAAGUCUUAAUAACUACAACCCUCCCAAUAUAUGUCAGUUCCCUAUAAGCCCAAGUAUUGAGUAAUGACUUGAUACUGUUUAUCUUGGCUGUAAAAUUACAUAGAGUUUUAUCCAUUUUAGCAAGUUCAAACCAUAUACCUAGUAGUUUAAACCUCCCAGAAUGGUUCCAAACAAGAUUUUUUUCUGGCAAAAGUUUUUCCAUACUACCCUUUUUUGACCCAAUCCAUACGGCUUCGGUUUUGUCAACAUUACACCUAAGUCCAGCACAUUCUGAAAAUUUAUCAAACAAGUAUAAACACUGAUUUAGGGAUUUUUGGUUACCAUCCAGGACUACGGAAGAAUCAUCAGCGUAUUGACUCAACAGAAAUUCAGAGUCAUUAAUUGUUACACCUGCAACCUCAGGGUCAUUUUUAAUAGCUGCACUUAGUAAUUCUAGCACUAAAAUAAAUAGGUAAGGAGACAGAGGAUCCCCUUGACGGACCCCCCUUUUUAAUGAAAAAAAUUCUGAAAUAUAACCAUUAUUCAACACAGCACUAGAAGCAUCACAGUAGCAAGCCUUAAUCCAAUUUAUAAAUGUAUGGUCAAAUCCAUAAAACUGCAAAGCCUCAUAUAUGAAAGACCAUUCGACUGUGUCGAAAGCUUUUUCAAAAUCGACUAAAAGUAAAAGUCCAGGAAUGUCGUCUUCUUCCAUCUUUUCCAUUAGAUCAUAAAUAAAUCUAGUACAUUCGCCAAUAUACCUACCUUUAAGAAAACCUUUUUGUGUUUGACUAAUUAUAUUUACCAAGACCUUUUUAAAUCUAUUUGCUAGACUGGCUGUAGCUAUCUUAUAGUCUACACACAGCAGUGUGAUAGGUCGCCAGUUCUUAAGAUAAAACUUUGACUUACCCUCCUUUGGUAUACAGGUAAUGAGUCCCUGUCUUUGAGUGAUAGAGAACUUUCCAUACUCUAAAGCCUCAUUUAAACAUCUUACUAGUGGAAAUUUAAUAUCAUUCCAGAAAAAUUUAUAAAACUCAACAGUGAAUCCAUCUAUACCAGGUGAUUUAGAGUUCUUCAUAUGUUUAAGAGAAGACAGACAUUCCUGUACUGAUAAAGGUCCUUCACAUGAUUUCACCUCUUCCUCAAUAGGUUUUGUAAUAAAAGGAUUGUCAUGCUGAAGAAAUGUGCUCCUGUGAGUCUCAAGUAACAAUGGGUUAGAACUAGUAUACAAUUUUUUAUAAAAUUGUUUUUGUUCAUUUCUAAUAAUACAUGGAUCCGUUAUCUCAGAUUCGUCCUCCAGAAUAAGUUUGGGAAUAAUUUUUUCUGUAUAAUGUUUUUUUUCCAAAUUACAAAAAUAGUUACUUCCCUUUUCCCCCUCUACUUGCCAUCUUGCCUUUGCUCUUGUAAUUAUCCCUUUAACAUUUUUUUCUCUUAUUACUUUUAAUUCUAGUUCCAACCCUUCCCUUUCUUGUUGUACUGAUGGCAAGUUAUUCUCUAUGAGUUUUUUUUAUCUAAUAAUGAUAUCUUGUAUAAUAAUUCUUUUUCUUUAUUAUUUUGUUCCUUCUUCCGGAAAAACGAAAAUGAGAUUGCAGAUCCACGAA
rnacentral:lncRNA from 1 species